UACAGAGGGUGCGAGCGUUAAUCGGAAUUACUGGGCGUAAAGCGUGCGUAGACGGUAGCGUAAGUCAGAUGUGAAAGCCCCGGGCUCAACCUGGGAACUGCAUUUGAGACUGCUCUGCUCGGGUGCGGAAGAGGGAAGCGGAAUUUCCGGUGUAGCGGUGAAAUGCGUAGAUAUCGGAAGGAACACCAGUGGCGAAAGCGACUUCCUGGUCCGACACCGACGUUCAGGCACGAAAGCGUGGGGAGCAAACAGG
rnacentral:rRNA from 1 species